rnacentral:rRNA from 1 species
UACAGAGGUCUCAAGCGUUGUUCGGAUUCAUUGGGCGUAAAGAGCGUGUAGGCGGCCAGGUAGGUCGGUUGUGAAAACUGGAGGCUCAACCUUCAGACGUCGACCGAAACCAUCUGGCUAGAGUCCGGGAGAGGAGAGUGGAAUUCCUGGUGUAGCGGUGAAAUGCGCAGAUAUCAGGAAGAACACCCGUGGCGAAAGCGGCUCUCUGGAACGGUACUGACGCUGAGACGCGAAAGCGUGGGGAGCAAACAGG